CCGCCAGCUGCAGGGAAUAGACGAGAGCGGGGUCGGAAAGGACGCGCACAAGUCGAACCCGUGGGCCUUCUGCCUCUGUCACUGCGCCUCUCGCCACAGCCACCUUCUGGAAAGUGCGCCUGCAGCUUCACUUCCGGGUCACCUCUCCCCCGGAACUAGAUUGCCUUCCUGCAGCCCUUCGUGGAGCUUUGGUGUGUGCGUUUCCGCUAAGGAUCACCAGAGGGCAGCAGAGGGCGCCGGUCAGACAAGCCUGAGGCCGAAGGCGCGUCCCCCGGAAGCCCUGAGGUCUCUGCGGGCUCCCCUCACAGGUGCGGUGUCGGCUGCGGCGACGCCGGCCGCGCAUCCGAGGGCGUUUGGGGAGUCUCUGCGAGGCAUUCUCUUGUCGCCUCAGUGAGAGUCGCUCAGUCGUGCUGACUGUUUGCGACAGUCCAUGGGAUUCUCCAGGUGGGUUCUUUACCGAAGGAGCCGCCAGGGAAGCCCAAGAAUACCGGAGUGUGUAGCCAUUCCCUUCUCCAGGGGAUCUUCCUGACCCAGGGAUCGAACUGAGGUCUCCUGCACUGCAGGCGGAUAUUCUUUACCAGCUGAGGGAAGAGGGAAGCCCCCUCACGGUUGUGCCAGAUUGUGGCCGCCGGUACCGAACAUCAUCUGGACUGUCAUGCAGACUCCACCGUCCUUGCUGGCUGGGCCAGAGCAGCUGGAGAGCUGUGUUUGCGUGAGCCAGGCCUUACUUGACAUGGUGAGGAAAACACGCUGGAAUAUAAUGAUCAGGUGUGGUCAGAAAAUCUUCCUAAAGCAAUGUUUUAUCAGUUCUACCCGGAACAAAAUUCUUGCCCCAACUGGAAGCUCACCGAGAACAAGCACUUCGAAUCCUUUAUCAACUAAGCAUGACUACUCUUCAAAAGAAAAAGAAAUCCUCUAUCUGAGAAACAAAGCCAAAACCUUACCCUGGAUGAACCUAGCUCUCUGCUGUUCACGCCUGCACCAGCGCAGCUAGUUGGGCCCUGAUGAAAGUCACAUCUGAGAAGACUGGUAAUCAAUGGACUCGAUCCUAAACCCUGGAUUUAUCUGAGCAGUUCGCUCUCUUGUCUCACAAAGCCAUCCCACCUCCUCCCGCCACUGGAGGUUUCCUUGCUGCCCAGGACUGAGGUCCCUCAGUGCCUCUUCCCCUCUCUCAGGUGAGGAGUCCCUGUAGGUGACAACCCAGCGGACUGGAGCCUGCUGCUAGCAGGAGCACAUGACUCACAGGGCCAGGGCGCAGGAUGGGAACCAGCUGUGUCUGCCCAUCUGGGAUGAGUGAGUGAUGAGAAAAAUAGGGAAAGGCAAUAAUCUGACUUUCCAUGUUUCAAGAAUUGGAAAUAAAGAUUCUGCUUGCUCUGUG
ensembl:lncRNA